rnacentral:rRNA from 1 species
GAUGAACGCUGGCGGCGUGCCUAAUACAUGCAAGUCGAGCGAACGGACGAGAAGCUUGCUUCUCUGAUGUUAGCGGCGGACGGGUGAGUAACACGUGGAUAACCUACCUAUAAGACUGGGAUAACUUCGGGAAACCGGAUCUAAUACCGGAUAAUAUUUUGAACCGCAUUGUUCAAAAGUGAAAGACGGUCUUGCUGUCACUUAUAGAUGGAUCCGCGCUGCAUUAGUUAGUUGGUAAGGUAACGGCUUACCAAGGCAACGAUGCAUAGCCGACCUGAGAGGGUGAUCGGACAGACGGGAACUGAGACACAGUACAGACUCCUACGGGAGGCAGCAGUAGGGAAUCUUACGCAAUGGGGGAAAGCCUGACGGAGCAACGCCGCGUGAGUGAUGAAGGUCUUCGGAUCGUAAAACUCUGUUAUUAGGGAAGAACAUAUGUGUAAGUAACUGUGAACAUCUUGACGGUACCUAAUCAGAAAGCCACGGCUAACUACGUG